CCGGGGAGAGCGCGGGGUGCGGGGCCCCGGGUGCGAGAACAAAGGGCCCCGCGCUGCGGGCGGGGGGGAGGUCCCGGCACCAGCGGGAAAAAAACACGGAUUCAGCGUGGAGUCCCCGAGGCUGCCGCCGGGCUGGGGGGAGCUGCGACCUGUUGGGCGCGGCGCUGGGCUCGGUGCGAGCGGCUCGGGGCUCGGGCCGGUGCCCUGGGCUCGCGGCAGAGCGAGCGCCCGCCGUCCGGGUGCUGUGGGAGAGUGCUCCUGGGAGCCAACUUGGAGCGGUGCGAGUGCCCGGCGUGAGUACGUGGAAUACGGGGAAGUGUUUCUGCUCUCCUGGUGUAAGGAUGCGCCGUGUUUCCAGGAGACUGACCAGGGCAGCUGCGGUACGGCGUUACGGAGUGCUGUGCUGAUCUCACAUUCAGAAGAUCAGUGCCUGGAAAACCCAAGUAGCAACCUCCCUAUGCUGUGACUGUAGGCUGAAAGACGUGCAGGUAUUUCUUUAUUAUUUUUAACCCAAGUCCUGCUUUUGGGAACAUUACCUAACUGUCAUUGGCAAAGGCAGUCAGAGCUAGUGAUUAUAAGGAGAAAGAUCUAAGCUUGUGGGUAACAGAGAAGAAAUGUUUUCCUCUUUGUGUCCACAUAAUGCAGGGCUGUGGGAAGAUAUGCUUAAUGAGGAUGAUUAUUGCUGUGGCUUUCCAUAAAUCCACUUGUAAUGGAGGCUUUGUACAGUUACUUCUGAAUCUGUACAUUUAAAAACUGCAAAUAGCGAUAAUGGAGUUGGCUAAUAGCAGACUGUCAAGUAAGUGCAAUCCUUGUGAUAACGUUCAGCCAUAGAUCUCCAUUUAAGUAUUACUUUUAAGCAGAAAAUGUUUCUUGUAGGUCAUAGUAUGUGCAGUUUGGAGGGGGGAAAAAAAGCCCAAUUGUUGCUGCAUGCGCCUGAAUCUUAACCAGCCAACUUCAUUGCGCAGAGGGUGCUUUUCUCCUCAUUUUUUUUCCCCCACUCUGGUCCAUUUUAAUUUCGAUAGGAGUAACGAUGACUGGCUUUAAAACAAACCCCAAAGCCUGGAGUAAGAGCUCUGUGCAUGGGUGCAGGCUGGCAGCAGUGCUGUGGGGAAUGUCCCUGUGGUGCCACUGGGCACAGGUUGGGGCUGAUCCCAUUGGAAAUGCCAAGCAGGACAAACCUUUCCAUCUCAGCUCUAAGUGCCUUUGUUUCUUUCAGCACAGCUCAGAAGCCGGGGCUGAGAGUUAAAUUACCCCUCUGUUACCCAACCUAAAAACAAAAGGUGAAGCUGGCACAGCAGGGAGGAUUUUUAAUGGGUUAUCUCACCGCGGUGCAGAAGUAAUGUGUUCUUCUCAAGUGAAGCACCUGUAACAGAUAGCAGGUGCCUGAUACAGGGUUUGAAAGAGUGCAGCUCUAACUUAUGUAGUGAAGAAGCAGCAUUAGUGGAGGCCUGGCACCUGAGCAGCUG
rnacentral:lncRNA from 1 species